GAAUAUUGGGCAAUGGCCGAGAGGCUGACCCAGCCAUGCCGCGUGCAGGAAGAAGGCCUUCUGGGUUGUAAACUGCUUUUAUCUGGGAAGAAAACGCCCCUGCGGGGGUAACUGACGGUACCAGAUGAAUACGCACCGGCUAACUCCGUGCCAGCCGCCGCGGUAAUACGGAGGGUGCAAGCGUUGUCCGGAUUUAUUGGGUUUAAAGGGUGCGUGGGCGGCCAAUUAAGUCAGUGGUGAAAUCCUUCCGCUUAACGGGAGAACUGCCAUUGAAACUGGUUGGCUUGAGUACGGUUGAAGUAGGCGGAAUUUAUGGUGUAGCGGUGAAAUGCAUAGAUACCAUAAAGAACACCGAUAGCGUAGGCAGCUUACUAAGUCGUAACUGACGCUGAGGCACGAAAGCAUGGGGAGCGAACAGG
rnacentral:rRNA from 1 species